rnacentral:rRNA from 1 species
AACGAACGCUGGCGGCGCGUCUUAAACAUGCAAGUCGAACGGCAGGAAGGGGCUUGCCCCUUCUGAGAGUGGCGGACUGGUGAGUAACACGUGGGUGUCAUACCUUUUAGUUGGGGAUAGCUAUUAGAAAUAGUAGGUAAUACCGAAUGUGACCGUACCUGUUAGAGGGGUACGAGGAAAGGAGCUAAGGCUUCGCUAAAAGAAUGGCUCGCGGCCCAUUAUGCUCGUUGGUGAGGUAACGGCCCACCAAGGCGAUGAUGGGUAUCCGGCCUGAGAGGGUGAACGGACACAUUGGGACUGAGAUACGGCCCAGACUUCUACGGGAGGCAGCAGUUAAGAAUAUUCCGCAAUGGACGAAAGUCUGACGGAGCGACGCCGCGUGGAUGAAGAAUGCCGAAAGGUUGUAAAAUCCUUUUAAGCCUGAUGAAUAAGCACAGUAGGGAAUGAUUGUGCGGUGACCGUAGGGCUUGAAUAAGCACCGGCUAAUUACGUG